rnacentral:rRNA from 1 species
GAUGAACGCUGGCGGCGCGCCUAACACAUGCAAGUCGAACGAUUAAAGCACCUUCGGGUGUGUAUAAAGUGGCGAACGGCUGAGUAACACGUGGGCAACCUGCCCCUUUCAUUGGGAUAGCCACGGGAAACCGUGGAUAAUACCGAAUACUUCGAGACUUCCGCAUGGAAGACUCGAGAAAGCUCCGGCGGAGAGGGAUGGGCCCGCGGCCUGUUAGCUUGUUGGUGGGGUAACGGCCUACCAAGGCAAUGAUGGGUAGCUGGGUUGAGAGACCGACCAGCCAGAUUGGGACUGAGACACGGCCCAGACUCCUACGGGAGGCAGCAGUGGGGAAUCUUGCACAAUGGGCGAAAGCCUGAUGCAGCGACGCUGCGUGCGGGAUGAAGGCCUUCGGGUUGUAAACCGCUUUCAGCAGGGACGAGGCGAAAGUGACGGUACCUGCAGAAGAAGCCCCGGCUAACUACGUG